GUAGGUGGCAAGCGUUGUCCGGAAUUAUUGGGCGUAAAGCGCGCGCAGGCGGUCCUUUAAGUCUGAUGUGAAAGCCCACGGCUCAACCGUGGAGGGUCAUUGGAAACUGGGGGACUUGAGUACAGAAGAGGAAAGCGGAAUCCCAAGUGUAGCGGUGAAAUGCGUAGAGAUUUGGAGGAACACCAGUGGCGAAGGCGGCUUUCUGGUCUGUAACUGACGCUGAGGCGCGAAAGCGUGGGGAGCAAACAGGAUUAGAUACCCUGGUAGUCCACGCCGUAAACGAUUAGUGCUAAGUGUUAGGGGGUUUCCCGCCCCCCUUAGUGCUGCAGCUAACGCAUUAAGCACUCCGCCUGGGGGAUACGGCCGCAAGGCUG
rnacentral:rRNA from 1 species